rnacentral:lncRNA from 1 species
AGCUCCAUAAGUGCAGUAGUGAUAGGCUCCAAUAAUUUACUCGACCGAGUGGGCAAAUCCUCCUUUUUAAUUGCUAGUGUCAUACUACUUUCUCCUAGAGAGGCUAUUUUUUGUUUCUUUUUUGCCCUUCUAUAAGUAUUUGGAAAGUGUGCUAUGGCCUUUGCUUUCUCUGUUGCCUUUCGCUCACGUACUCCAAACUUCACGCGUCGGCAUAAGGA